CCGUGGGCGCUGGAGAACUGAGGGGGGCUGCUCCUAGUACGAGAGGACCGGAGUGGACGCAUCACUGGUGUUCGGGUUGUCAUGCCAAUGGCACUGCCCGGUAGCUAAAUGCGGAAGAGAUAAGUGCUGAAAGCAUCUAAGCACGAAACUUGCCCCGAGAUGAGUUCUCCCUGAGACUUAGAGUCUCCUGAAGGAACGUUGAAGACGACGACGUUGAUAGGCCGGGUGUGUAAGCGCAGCGAUGCGUUGAGCUAACCGGUACUAAUGAACCGUGAGGCUUAACCUUACAACGCCGAAG
rnacentral:rRNA from 1 species